rnacentral:rRNA from 1 species
UACAGAGGUCUCAAGCGUUGUUCGGAUUCAUUGGGCGUAAAGGGUGCGUAGGCGGCGCGGUAAGUCGGGUGUGAAAUCUCGGAGCUUAACUCCGAAACUGCAUUCGAUACUGCCGUGCUUGAGGACUGGAGAGGAGACUGGAAUUUACGGUGUAGCGGUGAAAUGCGUUGAUAUCCAGCGGAACUCCGGUGGCGAAGGCGAGGUGCUGGACCCUUUCUGACGCUGAGGCGCGAAAGCCAGGGGAGCAAACGGG